ensembl:lncRNA
UCGGAAUCAAUAAAAUCAGACGUUUGGAUGGAGACUGUAAGAUGAAGCGCAUUGGAUUUGACCCCAAGGGCAACCCUGGGGGAUGAGGGGACUACCGGAGGUCCACUUCCUUUUCUUUCAGGCUCUCUGCUGACACAUAAAGAUCCUGAAGAAUGAUCAGCCCUCCCUCCCAACAAGAACACAUACACUUUUCUUUUUUUCAAAUGAGAGGCUGAAGGGGAAGUCACAACAAAGACAAGAGGAGGAGCAGAAGGAGGAGGAGAGAUUUCUGUGACAGGAUUAGAAGCAGCAGUGUGGUGGGUUCAGGCCCUCCAGUCAAGCGUGCUGCUGGACGCCGCCAGAGGCCGCCACAGGGGUGAGAGUUGCAGUCAGCCAGGGUCACCACGCUGCUGCAGGUCCUCUAAGGUUUCACUGUAAGAACUCAAAGAGUUGCUUCCUACCACAGAAGAGGUUCCAGUGCGUGCAAAUACACACUGAAAACACACACACGCACAGUGUUAACUUUCAAAAUUAAACCAAAGAAAUUAAGAUCAAAUAUGGAUUUAUUUACAAUUGAUGACCUGAUCACAUUUUUAAGCAUCCUUUUCAGUCCAACAUCCUGUAACUACAGAGACAAAUGUGGCAGUCAAAGACAUCCAACAUGUCCAGCAGGUCCUCCAGGCCCAGCUGGUCCACAUGAAAUUGAGCGGCAGCCAGGGGCGGGCCGAUACCUGGGGAGCGCUGAGCCGCUGACGAACCUGCAGCUCAUUGCCUUGGUGCGGCAACUUAAACUCCCCUCUGAAGAGGAUUAUUUUAUCUUGUUAGCAUCUUUUAUCUUAUUAGCAUGUGUUAUACUAUAUGUUUUUGUUUUAUGUUACAGUUAGUUUAGAAGUUAGGGAUAGUAUAUAAUCUUUAGUAAGAAUACACAUAAGCAAGUCAGUUGACCCUUCCUUGACAUGAAUACUGUUUAGACAGUUGGAGCCAGGCAGACAGGAAAUGGUUGACCCCCAUCGUAAAAUAUGACAGCAUAAUUUACUGGUGAUUGAUAAGUUCCUGGACAGGAAUAUGACCUCUGACCUGGCCAUCUGAGAAGACAAUGGAGAAGAAGGACUGCACCAACACCAAAUGAGGCAGGAAGAAGAAGAUGAGGUCACCCAAGAAGGACUGGAUUGGACUGAAUUAGCAUCAAUAAUUUACAUAUGUCUUUCUAUAAAAGACUGGGUCAAGGGAUAGUUAGGUUGUCAGACUUCAUGCCCUGACAAUGGACUCUGUUAUUGUAGGGUUAUGAACUGGCCCGGAGCUCUGUAAUAUUUGUAUCUUGAAUUGAUUCUAUUUGCUAAAUACAUUUUGAAAUUGGCAUUUGUUUACUUGAAGUCUUCAUUUAAAGAACACGCGGAUUGGCAGUGACACACGAGAGGUAUUGCAAUCCAACAAUUUGGUGACCCUGACGUGAUCAAAUCAAAUCAAAUCAAAUCAAUCUUUAUUUAUAUAGCGUCUUUUACAAUCAAAAUUGUUUCAAGGCGCUUUCCAGAAUCCCAGGGCCUAACCCCAGACAAGCAACAGUGGCAAGGAAAAACUCCCCUUUAACAGGA